GAGCAAAAUGGCGGGGUGAGCCGACCCGGGAUUCUCUCCCCUCCAAAAUACAACAAAAGAUUGGAAGAACUGAAUUUCAGAGAAUAAAUGUAAUGCCAGCUCGUUAGAGACCUACAAUACCAAGAAGGCGGAGAUCAUAAACCUAGCUUUACACCUUCGGAGGCGCCGGAACGGAAAACAUAUUAAGAGAACACCAAACAAGUGAAGAACAAAAAGUCCACCAGCAUCAUCCCAACAACUGGAAGGUCUUUGAUGACGUGGAAGAAGAAGCCACUUGUUGUAAACCCACAGGCAAGUGGGCUGCAUGAGGAAUGAGUGGACUUGCACACGCUGUGCCGUUAGCGCAGUUCUGUGUUACAGGCUGUGUAAUGAAGAAUCUCCGUACCUGCAUCAUUCAAACUAACUGCUAAAGAUUUUUUCUAAUCCACAUCCAUAUGCUCCAUCCAGACAAGUACCAGUGUCAUCCUAAAUUAAGCC
rnacentral:lncRNA from 1 species